UCAACAUUAUUUCUUGAGCAAAAUACGUUCAUUUUUAAAAUACUUAAUAUUCUUACUUUUUUUCAGUUUUAAAUAAACAGGAAAGAGAAAAAUAAAAAUGGAUGAAUAAAAAAAUAAAAAAUAAAAUAAAAUAAAAUAAAAAAAAAAUUAGGAAACAGUUAUUACAAGUUACAAUAAACCAAAGUUAAAUAAAGAAUGUAGUCACAUAAAAAGAAAAUUACAUAUAAAAAAAAUAAAUAAUAUAAUAUAUAUAUAUAUAUAUAUGUACAUAUUUAAAUAGGCAUAAACAUCAACUAAAGUGCUAGUAAGUUCCUACCGAAACAUCUCUUUUUUUAACGCGCAGUAAACAUAAAAAAAAAAAUUAUGUAUAAAAAUAUUACUUUUGUGAUUUAAAAAAAUUAUAUAAAAAAUAUAAUUAUAUAUUUAGGACAACUGUUCAACGAAAAUAAAACUUCCUUAUAAAUUUUUAAAAAUCAAAUACGCUUCAACAGCACACUUUUCGAAUUUAUCUCACAUAAUAACUCUUAAAUAAGAUUAAUUUUUAAAAAACUUUUGUAUUAUAUGAAAUAAAAACACUAUACAAAUUAUAUGGAAUAUGUCAAGUGAUAAACAUAGUAAUAAUUUUUUCAGCGAAUUUAACCCAUAUAAUAAAAAGAAUACGAAAAAAGUUUUAUACAGGUAUUUUCAAAAUAGAACGCAGAAACAAACUAAGUAUAUAACAUUAUCGUUAUUUGCACUUAGUGGUGUGUUUUUAUACGUUAUUAACAAAGCUUAUGAUAGAAAUAUAUAUUAUUUAAACAAUGAAUUUUAUAAAGACGUAGAUAAACAUUAUGACGCUUCUGCACCGCUGGAAGCCCAAAACAGAGCUUUUGCUCAUAUAUUUGCAAAGGCUAAGAGAAAAGAUCUUGAAUUAGAUUCUAAACCCUUAGUUUCUCAAUUAAUUCAAAUUAAAGAUAAAAAGGAACAAUAUAAAAAGAACUAACAAAAAGGAAUAUUAUGCUUAACAUAAUGUGACAUAACGCAGCACAAUACAAUACAACACAACAAGACACAACACAACACAACACAACAAGACAUAACACAAGACACAACACAACAAGACACAACACACCAUAACACAACAUAACGUAACAUAAAAAAGAUCACACAUUUUUAAUCCUAUCACAAAUAAAAUGCUUCAAUUUUAUUUACUUAAAAAAAAA
rnacentral:lncRNA from 1 species